UUCUGAUGGAGGAUGGGAUACCACUCGCCAGUACGAGGCAAACCCAAUUGCUAGUGAGUCAGAAGAUGAAUUCAAGAAUAUCAAGGCUGAAAACAGGGUCAUUAGGAAGAAAAAGGCAAAGAAUAAACCAGCAGCUAAACAACGGCAAAUUCCUGCCAACGCUAACCCUAGUUUCAAUCCUCAACAGCCCUUUUGAGGGGCCAGCCGUCUUGGUAUGGAGGUUUCCAGUAUGCCCAAGACUAGUACGCUGGAAAAUUUCAACGGGGACCAUGCUUCAACUGUGGGUCCUACAGGCACUGGAGAGUUAACUACCCCUUCCAAAAACAACAAAACAGCAGCAUCACACAAAAGAAACUGAUUUUGUAAAAGAUGAGUAUAAUUUAGAGACAAGUUCUUCAGAAAAUUUGUAUGCACCAACUUUUGCACAUGACUAUUUCGAAUAUGAGCAAGAUGGUACUAAUAUUAUUGUUAAGGGUAAGCUGAAGGAAAAUUUCCAAUUUUGGAUAAAUAUUGGUGCUUAAAGUGUAUGACUAUAUUAUUGACAAUAUAAGAGAUGGUUAUAAGAUACCAUUUCAUUCUAUUUCUCCGUCUACGUAUUUAUAUAACAAUUUAUCAGCUUUAAAUAAUUCCGAUUUUGUACAUACAGCUAUUCAGGAUUUAUUACAUAGAGGUUUAAUAGUUUAGUGUGACAAACGACCUUUUGUUGUUAAUCCUCUUACUGUACCAGUUCAAUCUAAUUCAAGGAAAAGAUUGAUACUUGAUUUGAGAGCGGUUAAUAAACAUUUAUGGAAACAGAGCGUUAAAUUUGAGGAUAUGAGGACUGCUCAACAGCAUAUUAAAUUUAAUUAUUCUAUGUUUAAGUUUGAUGUUCACUCAGCUUAUCACCAUGUUGAUAUUUUUGCUCAACAUUCAACAUCAAUGUAUCAAUGAAAAGCUACACGAACUGAGAAAAAGGAACCAGUUACUCCUGAGCUCCUAUCUAUAAUGUAUAGUUCUUUAUUUAAGGAAUAUAAUGUUAUGUCAUAGCGUAUUAUUUGCGCGUGUUUAUUUGUUUAUUCAGGACUUUUGAGAGUGUCCGAGCUAUUAAAUAUACGGAAAUGUGAUAUUAGGUUUGAAUUAGGUUAUGUAUCUAUAUUUAUUCCGAAAAGUAAAACCAAUAUUUAUCGUGAUGGCAAUUCUGUAGUAAUAGCCUGUAUGGAUUGAUACAUGUGUCCAGUAAAGAAUUUAAAGUUGUAUUUUUUGUGGGCUGAUAUUUCGCCGGAUUCAGAAGAAUUUAUUUUUUAGAAACUUCGGAAGGAUAAUAAACCUCUGUCUUACACACGUAUGAGAGAAUUAUUCAUUGGAGCUUUUCAACAUUUUGGAUACAGUUGUUAUCCCAAAGACCAACGAACAUGAAACAGAGGAAUUGAAAGUUAGUAUGUUUGUUGGAAUAGCAGUGGCAUUGACAAUGUUGCUAAUACUAUUGAUAGUUCUAGCAGUCUGUAUCAGAAGGCACAGGUUUAAAGUUGUAAUCAUGGAACCUGCACCGAUUAGCAACUCUGAUCAUGAAUAUGAAAAUGUUCAAGAAAAUGUCGAUACAGACUAUCAUACUUUAAAUCUGGAACUCGUUGGACAGAUAAAUGAAUAUUCUACCCUUCAACCAAAUGUUCCAGAUUAUAUUGUAAUACUUUGACAAUCAACAAAAAAAGAAAUAACAUCUUAUAUAAAAAAGGAAGAACACACUAAGAGGGCAUAUGUGACUCAAACUUAAUAUUUUGUCAUUAUACAAAUUAUCUUAUGAAAAUUAAACAAUCAUGCAAAGACAAGUCUGAAAUUAGAAUGAACUGUUUCUAUUAGUUUGAUUAUUUUUAAUUGUUUUCUUUUUUGGUUGUUUCAAUACAAUCGACAAUAGGUAAAAAUCUCUCAAAAUGUAAUGUAGAUAUUUUAAAGACGGCAAGAUUUUCAUGUCACCAUGGAUUGAAUCCAUUAAU